GGCUCAGUUGGUAGAGCAUGGUGUUUGCAACGCCAGGGUUGUGGGUUCGAUUCCCAU
rnacentral:tRNA from 1 species